UCCCCGUUACCGGGGCAGUCUGACUAGAAAAAUCCAACUAGCCAUAAGGGUUGCGCUCGUUGAUGGACUUAACCAAACAUCUCACGACACGAGCUGACGACGGCCAUGCAACACCUGUCACUGCUUGCCCCAUACUCAUUUUGAUAGACUCUCUGAAGCUUGAUGCUUCAGUAUCAAAACGACUAUGGGGCACGUUUUCCUUUCGGAAAACUUGGCAGGAUGUCAAACCCUGGUAAGGUUCUAGGCUUAUCAUCCGAUUAAACAACACGCUCCACCGCUUGUGCGGGUCCCCGUCAAUUCCUUUGAGUUUUAAUCUUGCGACCGUACUCCUCAGGCGGGAUGCUUAACGCGUUAGCUUCGCUACUGACCGGGUCGAUACGGCCAACAGCUAGCAUCCAUA
rnacentral:misc_RNA from 1 species